rnacentral:rRNA from 1 species
UACAGAGGUCUCAAGCGUUGUUCGGAUUCAUUGGGCGUAAAGGGUGCGUAGGUGGGCAGGUAAGUCAGUGGUGAAAUCUCCGGGCUUAACUCGGAAACUGCCAUUGAUACUAUCUUUCUUGAAUACCGUGGAGGUCAGCGGAAUAUGUCACGUAGCGGUGAAAUGCUUAGAUAUGACAUAGAACACCAAUUGCGAAGGCAGCUGGCUAGACGAAUAUUGACACUGAUGCACGAAAGCGUGGGGAUCAAACAGG